AUGAGCCGUUUGACGGGCGCAAGAAAUGCGAACAAAACCAGCGAUCUUCUUGCGCUACAAAAAAAUGCCCCGUUUUGCCGCUUGACCACAGACGGAACCCGGGGACCGUUUUUGGAUCCAGAUCGUCUAGAUCGUCCACCGUCGUCCGACUCUACGAGACUAGAGUGUCCCGCCUUUGCUGGCUGGGAGCCCUGUGGAUCCUGGACGUCGAGUGCAACAGGGCCACUCUUCGCUGGCUUUACAAACCCGAACCGAGCAGAGCCUAGUCCGAACGUGACGGUCCCACCUGAGCCACAGACGUGCAGCGUCGCCUGUCCCGAAGGGACAAACAGAAUGCUCCGUGCCUUGGGUAGCUGCGUAGUGGAGUUGGAGAACAACGUGCUCCUCCAUGUACUGCACGUGAACACCGUGGGAAAUCAAAAGUACAGCGCGACCGUAUUCUCGGAAAGUCUCAGAAGGUACGCUCGAGCGCAGUCUAACACGACCAAAACCAAGCUCCUUAGCCGAUUGAGAUUCGUGUCAGACAAGAAGAGGCUCAGCUCCCAGCACGGCUACAAAAACACUCGCAUAGAGUUUUCGUCAAACCCCGGCCGUAGCGCAAAUUACACAUCCAAUGCCAAAUACCUGCUGCAACCCUACUUCAGAGGACUGUUUGAGACCAUCGUCUUGUCCCAGGGAACUUGCAUGGUUUCAACCAAACCGUUCACGGUUAGCAACGAGAACCUGACUUCUUACUUGUAUGGCGUGGCAAACCCCUUGACUGUGGUGAUCCGCAUGAAAAACAAAAAGAAACACUUCCAGACGCCCUUCUUUUUCUCAUCUGUAAACGUGACAGGCGAGGAGAGCAGACACCAGCUUUUCUCGUCAAUGUCUAUCAACUCUCAAAAAGCAGGGAACGUAGCAGAGGAGCUCCCGAGGGCACUUGGCAAAGUGGCCAAGUUCGUGGAGACGCACGUUCAUCUCAACAGGCUGUGUUGCGAGCUGGCUCAGGAGCGACGUGGCUCCUUAACGUCGCGAGAAAAAGUUUGUUUGGUGUACCUCACAGAGACAUAUUUUGUGCACGUGAGGGACCGUAGCCGCCCAGAGUAUUGGCCCGGGUACAGAGAGGCCGUGGGAGGUGCGUUUGUUCGGCGCUACCGUAGCGAUCUAUCCUCGUUCCAGGAUAAGGUCCUCACAAACUACCAUCUGAGGAACCCUGAAUUUAUCCACUUGAUCCCUUGGCUCCUCAACAAUCGAAGUGCGCUGCACGAGACCAUGAUUGUCGCGCACGAGGCGUACCUGAGGGAGGAGGGAAAGGUGAAUGCUAGAGCAGAACUGAUCGCCACCGUCGACAGUCAUGUCAGCCUAAACCCCAACUGUUUUCCUCCCGAUGGAUUCCCGAGCCUAAAGGAGGUCGACUUUGGAUGCCUGGGCUACAGCGAGGAAACCCUUCGGUAUGCCGUGAGCAAAUCUAGCACGAGAGGCUCCGCAAAGUGCAAGUAA
rnacentral:lncRNA from 1 species